GUUUUCGCUUUGUGUUGUAGCAUACGUCACUUUUGGUUUAAAAAGGGGGCCAAUUCACUGGGUGAUGAUGUGACGGCCUCAGAGCGAGGCCACUUCACUAAUGAUCCUUCCGCAGGUUCACCUACGGAAA
rnacentral:misc_RNA from 1 species